rnacentral:rRNA from 1 species
UGGGGAAUAUUGGACAAUGGGGGCAACCCUGAUCCAGCCAUGCCGCGUGAGUGAUGAAGGCCUUCGGGUUGUAAAGCUCUUUUGGCGGGGACGAUGAUGACGGUACCCGCAGAAUAAGCCCCGGCUAACUUCGUGCCAGCAGCCGCGGUAAGACGAAGGGGGCUAGCGUUGUUCGGAAUUACUGGGCGUAAAGCGAGUGUAGGCGGUUGCCGUAGUCAGGUGUGAAAGCCUUGAGCUCAACUCAAGAAAUGCACUUGAUACUGGGUGACUAGAGGACCGGAGAGGAUAGUGGAAUUCCCAGUGUAGUGGUGAAAUACGUAGAGAUUGGGAAGAACACCAGUGGCGAAGGCGGCUAUCUGGACGGUUACUGACGCUAAGACUCGAAAGCGUGGGGAGCAAACAGGAUUAGAUACCCUGGUAGUCCACGCCGUAAACGAUGGGUGCUAGACGUUGGCGAGCUUGCUCGUCAGUGUCGCAGCUAACGCGUUAAG